rnacentral:rRNA from 1 species
CACGUAGGGGGCGAGCGUUGUCCGGAUUUAUUGGGCGUAAAGAGCUCGUAGGCGGCUCAGUAAGUCAGGUGUGAAAACUCCAGGCUCAACCUGGAGACGCCACUUGAUACUGCUGUGGCUAGAGUCCGGUAGGGGAGCAUGGAAUUCCUGGUGUAGCGGUGAAAUGCUUAGAUAUGACAUAGAACACCAAUUGCGAAGGCAGCUCACUACACAAAGAUUGACACUGAGGCACGAAAGCGUGGGGAUCAAACAGG